GAUGAACGCUAGCGGCAGGCUUAACACAUGCAAGUCGAGGGGCAGCAUAAAUAGUAGCAAUACUAUUGGUGGCGACCGGCGGACGGGUGCGUAACGCGUAUACAACCUUCCCUAAACAGGGGGAUAAUCUGGAGAAAUUCGGUCUAAUACCCCAUAACAUCAGAGCAGGCAUCUGUUUUGGUUAAAAUUUCCGGAGGUUUAGGAUGGGUAUGCGUAGCAUUAGCUAGUUGGUGAGGUAACGGCUCACCAAGGCGACGAUGCUUAGGGGGACUGAGAGGUUGACCCCCCACCCUGGGACUGAGACACGGACCAGACUCCUACGGGAGGCAGCAGUGAGGAAUAUUGGUCAAUGGGCGGAAGCCUGAACCAGCCAUGCCGCGUGCAGGAUGACGGCUCUAUGAGUUGUAAACUGCUUUUGUACGAGGGUAAAGUGGGCUACGUGUAGCCUUUUGAAAGUAUCGUACGAAUAAGGAUCGGCUAACUCCGUGCCAGCCGCCGCCGUAA
rnacentral:rRNA from 1 species